AACGAACGCUGGCGGCGUGCCUAACACAUGCAAGUCGAACGAUAACUUCGGGUCCAGUGGCGCACGGGUGCGUAAGGCGUGGGAAGCUGCCCUUAGGUUCGGAAUCACUCCCCGAAAGGGGUGAUAAUACCGGAUAAUGUUUUCGAACAAAAGAUAUAUCGCCUUUGGAUGGGCCCGCGUUGGAGUAGCUAGUUGGUAGGGUAAAAGCCUACCAAGGCGACGAUCCAUAGCUGGUCUGAGAGGAUGAUCAGCCACACGGGGACUGAGACACGGCCCAGACUCCUACGGGAAGCAGCAGUGGGGAAUAUUGGACAAUGGGCGAAAGCCUGAUCCAGCAAUGCCGCGUGAGUGAUGAAGGCCUUAGGGUUGUAAAGCUCUUUUACCCGGGAUGAUAAUGACAGUACCGGGAGAAUAAGCGCCGGCUAACUCCGUG
rnacentral:rRNA from 1 species